rnacentral:rRNA from 1 species
GACGAAGGGGGCUAGCGUUGUUCGGAAUUACUGGGCGUAAAGCGCGUGUAGGCGGUUGUCCAAGUUGGAUGUGAAAGCCUUGAGCUCAACUCAAGAAAUGCAUUCAGGACUGGGCGACUAGAGGACCGGAGAGGAUAGUGGAAUUCCCAGUGUAGUGGUGAAAUACGUAGAGAUUGGGAAGACCGGUGGCGAAGGCGGCCUGCUGGGCGAGAUACUGA